GAUGAACGCUGGCGGCGUGCCUAAUACAUGCAAGUCGAGCGAACGGACGAGAAGCUUGCUUCUCUGAUGUUAGCGGCGGACGGGUGAGUAACACGUGGAUAACCUACCUAUAAGACUGGGAUAACUUCGGGAAACCGUAGCUAAUACCGGAUAAUAUUUUGAACCGCAUGGUUCAAAAGUGAAAGACGGUCUUGCUGUCACUUAUAGAUGGAUCCGCGCUGCAUUAGCUAGUUGGUAAGGUAACGGCUUACCAAGGCAAUGAUGCAUAGCCGACCUGAGAGGGUGAUCGGCCACACUGGAACUGAGACACGGUCCAGACUCCUACGGGAGGCAGCAGUAGGGAAUCUUCCGCAAUGGGCGAAAGCCUGACGGAGCAACGCCGCGUGAGUGAUGAAGGUCUUCGGAUCGUAAAACUCUGUUAUUAGGGAAGAACAUAUGUGUAAGUAACUGUGCACAUCUUGACGGUACCUAAUCAGAAAGCCACGGCUAACUACGUGCCAGCAGCCGCGGUAAUACGUAGGUGGCAAGCGUUAUCCGGAAUUAUUGGGCGUAAAGCGCGCGUAGGCGGUUUUUUAAGUCUGAUGUGAAAGCCCACGGCUCAACCGUGGAGGGUCAUUGGAAACUGGAAAACUUGAGUGCAGAAGAGGAAAGUGGAAUUCCAUGUGUAGCGGUGAAAUGCGCAGAGAUAUGGAGGAACACCAGUGGCGAAGGCGACUUUCUGGUCUGUAACUGACGCUGAUGUGCGAAAGCGUGGGGAUCAAACAGGAUUAGAUACCCUGGUAGUCCGCGCCGUAAACGAUGAGUGCUAAGUGUUAGGGGGUUUCCGCCCCUUAGUGCUGCAGCUAACGCAUUAAGCACUCCGCCUGGGGAGUACGACCGCAAGGUUGAAACUCAAAGGAAUUGACGGGGACCCGCACAAGCGGUGGAGCAUGUGGUUUAAUUCGAAGCAACGCGAAGAACCUUACCAAAUCUUGACAUCCUUUGACAACUCUAGAGAUAGAGCCUUCCCCUUCGGGGGACAAAGUGACAGGUGGUGCAUGGUUGUCGUCAGCUCGUGUCGUGAGAUGUUGGGUUAAGUCCCGCAACGAGCGCAACCCUUAAGCUUAGUUGCCAUCAUUAAGUUGGGCACUCUAAGUUGACUGCCGGUGACAAACCGGAGGAAGGUGGGGAUGACGUCAAAUCAUCAUGCCCCUUAUGAUUUGGGCUACACACGUGCUACAAUGGACAAUACAAAGGGCAGCGAAACCGCGAGGUCAAGCAAAUCCCAUAAAGUUGUUCUCAGUUCGGAUUGUAGUCUGCAACUCGACUACAUGAAGCUGGAAUCGCUAGUAAUCGUAGAUCAGCAUGCUACGGUGAAUACGUUCCCGGGUCU
rnacentral:rRNA from 1 species